rnacentral:rRNA from 1 species
AGAGUUUGAUCCUGGCUCAGGAUGAACGCUGGCGGCGUGCCUAAUACAUGCAAGUCGAACGCACAGCGAAAGGUGCUUGCACCUUUCAAGUGAGUGGCGAACGGGUGAGUAACACGUGGACAACCUGCCUCAAGGCUGGGGAUAACAUUUGGAAACAGAUGCUAAUACCGAAUAAAACUCAGUGUCGCAUGACACAGAGUUAAAAGGCGCUUUGGCGUCACCUAGAGAUGGAUCCGCGGUGCAUUAGUUAGUUGGUGGGGUAAAGGCCUACCAAGACAAUGAUGCAUAGCCGAGUUGAGAGACUGAUCGGCCACAUUGGGACUGAGACACGGCCCAAACUCCUACGGGAGGCUGCAGUAGGGAAUCUUCCACAAUGGGCGAAAGCCUGAUGGAGCAACGCCGCGUGUGUGAUGAGGGCUUUCGGGUCGUAAAGCACUGUUGUAUGGGAAGAACAGCUAGAAUAGGGAAUGAUUUUAGUUUGACGGUACCAUACCAGAAAGGGACGGCUAAAUACGUGCCAGCAGCCGCGGUAAUACGUAUGUCCCGAGCGUUAUCCGGAUUUAUUGGGCGUAAAGCGAGCGCAGACGGUUGAUUAAGUCUGAUGUGAAAGCCCGGAG